CUACGGGCUGCACCAGUGAGGAAUAUUGGUCAAUGGGCGAAAGCCUGAACCAGCCAAUCCGCGUGCAGGAUGACUGCCCUAUGGGUUGUAAACUGCUUUUAUACAGGAAGAACUUCCCCGACGUGUCGGGGCGUGCCUGUACUGUAAGAAUAAGCAUCGGCUAACUCCGUGCCAGCAGCCGCGGUAAUACGGAGGAUGCAAGCGUUAUCCGGAUUUAUUAGGUCUAAAGGGUGCGUAGGCGGAUGAUUAAGUCAGUGGUGAAAUCCUACAGCUUAACUGUAGAACUGCCAUUGAUACUGGUUAUCUUGAGUUUAGUUGAGGUAGGCGGAAUGUGUGGUGUAGCGGUGACAUGCUUAGAUAUCACACAGAACACCGAUUGCGAAGGCAGCUUACUAAGCUACACCUGACGCUGAGGCACGAAAGCGUGGGGAGCGAACAGGAUUAGAUACCCCCGUAGUC
rnacentral:rRNA from 1 species